rnacentral:rRNA from 1 species
GUGCCAGCCGCCGCGGUAAGACAGAGGGGGCAAGCGUUGCUCGGAAUUACUGGGCGUAAAGGGCGCGUAGGCGGGAUGGCAAGUCGGUCGUGAAAUCCCUCGGCUCAACUGAGGAGCGUCGAUCGAAACUGCCGUUCUUGAGGGUUGCAGAGGAGACUGGAAUUCCCGGUGUAGCGGUGAAAUGUGUAGAGAUCGGGAGGAACACCGGUGGCGAAGGCGGGUCUCUGGGCAACUCCUGACGCUGAGGCGCGAAAGCGUGGGGAGCAAACGGGAUUAGAUACCCCAGUAGUCC